AAACUUUCAACAAUGGAUCUCUUGGUUCCGGCAUCGAUGAAGAACGCAGCGAAAUGCGANAACUAGUGUGAAUUGCAGAAUUCCGUGAAUCAUCGAGUCUUUGAACGCACAUUGCGCCCCCUGGUAUUCCGGGGGGCAUGCCUGUCCGAGCGUCAUU
rnacentral:rRNA from 1 species